AAGACAUCCUGGCAAGCAACCGGUCCGUCAGCUGCACGCUGCAAUCGGAUGCAGCGUCCACAAGUCAGAACGUGCCACACGAAAAAAAAGUCAAAGAAAGAAAACAUUCCAAAAAAAAGUCAAAGAAACAAAACAUCCACACUCGUGACCACGGUCUGCAGGUCAUUCAGAGAUAAGGACAGCCGUGCUGGCCGGACGUGAACAGCCCCAUGACCAUACCAUCCCCUGGUAACCCCCACCCAACAGUUCCCCUUCAUCUCAAUCUUCACAGCCAGCGUCCGGUAGCAAAAAUGGAGGAGAACGACGGCGCAGCGCCCCCCGAUGGUGUCGUCCACCACACAGCGAUAGAUCCAGUGAUAGGUGGAGUCCCCAUGGAUCAUAUCUUUUCCACAAACACGAGUUAGAUACCCUCGUUUCAAAACCCAAUCGACGAAGAAGAGAAUGACAGCAAACCAGCGGAAGGCCCCGUGCCGCCGACGCUGCCGGCCGCUGGAUGGAUAAGACGGCAGAGAAACAGAUAGGGUAAUCCUUUUCGGGCACCAGUGGAAGGACAUCAGACUGCGAUAGAGCGUGCAAUUGAAGAAGCAACGAAACUUGGUAAAAAAAAGUUGUUUUCGAACCAACUGUUGGCAUGGUGUUCAAUUCUGAACUAGAGGCUUAUGAGUUUUACAACGCAUAUUCAUGGGAGAUUCGAUUCGGCAUCAGGCGGGGAAACAAAUACGUCAACGAUCAGAAUUACAAAUCAAAGCAAGACAUUCUCUAUUGCUGCGGGGGCAAGGAAACCGAUGUGUUACCUCCUGAACCUAAGAGAUCUAAGGGGAGGCCAAAAACAAAACGAUUGAGAUCUGCUGUAGAGAUAGCUAUUGAGAAGAAUAAAAGGAAGUGCUCUAUAUGUGGGUCUGACACCCAUGCCACUAAAUCAUGCCCGUGUAUGGAAGUUGGAGCAGCUGACCCAAUGGAUUCAAACACUCCGGACAUGGUGUUGUUUUAUUUUUGAUAUUACGAGAAAAUUUCUGUCUAUUCAUUGACAGUGAAGGCAGUUAAAAGAACACGAGAAGUGAAUGCUACAUCCAUAUGCAUGGAUCACAAAGCG